rnacentral:rRNA from 1 species
UACAGAGGUCUCAAGCGUUGUUCGGAUUCAUUGGGCGUAAAGGGUGCGUAGGCGGCGCGGUAAGUCGGGUGUGAAAUCUCGGAGCUUAACUCCGAAACUGCAUUCGAUACUGCCGUGCUUGAGGACUGGAGAGGAGACUGGAAUUUACGGUGUAGCGGUGAAAUGCGUAGAUAUCGUAAGGAAGACCAGUGGCGAAGGCGGGUCUCGUGGACAGUUCCUGACGCUGAGGCACGAAGGUCAGGGGAGCAAAUGGG